GACGAACGCUGGCGGCGUGCCUAAUACAUGCAAGUAGGACGCAGUUGCGAACGGGUUAGUAACGCGUAGGUAACUACCUAUUAGAGGGGGAUAACUAUUGGAAACGAUAGCUAAUACCGCAUACUAGUAGAUGGACCUGCGGUGUAUUAGCUAGUAGGUAGGGUAAUGGCCUACCUAGGCAACGAUACAUAGCCGACCUUGGAGGGUGAUCGGCCACACCGGGACUGGGAAACGGGUCAGACUUCUAAGGGAGGGAGCAGUAGGGAAACUUUGGCAAUGGGGGGAACCCUGGCCGAGCAACGCCGCGUGAGUGAAGAAGGUUGUCGGAUCGUAAAGCUCUGUUGUUAAGGAAGCGGUACUUAACCAGAAAGGGACGGCUAACUAUGUGCCAGCAGCCGCGGUAAUAC
rnacentral:rRNA from 1 species